AAGAUGUUGCCCUGGCACAUAUCCUUGCAUAUGAAGUUCCUUCGGCAAACGGAAGAUACUGUAUGGUUGAAAGAGUUGCUCACCACUCGGAGAUUGUCAAGAUCAUACACGAAAUGUACCCCAAUUUUCCAGUGCCAGACAAGUGUGCAGAUGACGCACCAUUUGUCCCUAUCUACCAGGUAUCGAAGGACAAGAUAAGAAGUUUGGGUAUGGAGCUGAUUCCCCUGGAGACGAGCCUCAAGGAGACUAUCGAGAGCUUGAGAGAGAAAGGAUUUGUUACUUCUGAGUCAAGCCAUCUAUGAAACCUUCUUUCCUUUGGCGUCACUGGAUGCAUACAUGUUUAUGUACACCUGAAAUAAAUGGAGGCAUAUUGUGCUCUAUGGAUCCGUUGUGUUCUCAUGGAUUCGAGGUUCAAGACGUUCCUCAGAAUGUGGGCAGCCAGGAGCACGCUUAGCAAAUAGAAAGACCCACUACUUAGUGUCGAUGACAUGCUGGUGGACUUCACUCUCUAGUGACAUAUAGUGUGUAUUUCUACAUGAGUUUAUAUGUAUACUAUACUCUAUAGAUAAUUUCUGAAAAUAAUCCAAUUGAGAAGGAAAUGUCUUAAGUGGAAA